CCCGAUUGAGAUGCUGUGGCAUGACCUCAAGAAAGCGAUUCACACCAGACAUCCCAAGAAUAUUGCUGACCUGAAACAGUUCUGUAAAGAGGAAUGGUCAAGAAUUACUCCUGACCGUUGUGCAAGUCUGAUCUGCAACUACAGGAAACGUUUGGUUAAAGUUAUUGCUGCCAAAGGAGGUUCAACCAGUUAUUAAAUCCAAGGGUUCACAUACUUUUUCCAAUG